rnacentral:rRNA from 1 species
GACGAACGCUGGCGGCGUGCCUAACACAUGCAAGUCGAACGGACUGAGGAGAGCUUGCUCUCCGACGUUAGUGGCGGACGGGUGAGUAACGCGUGAGUAACCUGCCUGUCAGAGGGGGAUAACGUUUGGAAACGAACGCUAAUACCGCAUGAUACCACAGUGUCGCAUGACACACUGGUCAAAGGAGAAAUUCGCUGAUAGAUGGACUCGCGUCUGAUUAGAUAGUUGGUGAGGUAACGGCUCACCAAGUCGACGAUCAGUAGCCGGACUGAGAGGUUGAACGGCCGCAUUGGGACUGAGACACGGCCCAGACUCCUACGGGAGGCAGCAGUGGGGGAGUAUUGUCACAAUGGGGGAAACCCGUAGAUGCAGCAAUGCCGCGUGAGGGAA